UGGGGAAUAUUGGACAAUGGGGGAACCCUGAUCCAGCCAUGCCGCGUGUGUGAAGAAGGCCUUAUGGUUGUAAAGCACUUUAAGCGAGGAGGAGGCUACUGAGACUAAUACUCUUGGAUAGUGGACGUUACUCGCAGAAUAAGCACCGGCUAACUCUGUGCCAGCAGCCGCGGUAAUACAGAGGGUGCGAGCGUUAAUCGGAUUUACUGGGCGUAAAGCGUGCGUAGGCGGCUUUCUAAGUCGGAUGUGAAAUCCCCGAGCUUAACUUGGGAAUUGCUUCGAUACUGGGAAGCUAGAGUAUGGGAGAGGAUGGUAGAAUUCCAGGUGUAGCGGUGAAAUGCGUAGAGAUCUGGAGGAAUACCGAUGGCGAAGGCGGCCAUCUGGCCUAAUACUGACGCUGAGGUACGAAAGCAUGGGGAGCAAACAGGAUUAGAUACCCUGGUAGUCCAUGCCGUAAACGAUGUCUACUAGCCGUUGGGGCCUUUGAGGC
rnacentral:rRNA from 1 species